CUGCUUCUUUCUUUCUACUUCGGCUCUCUCUCUCUAAUAGAAAAAAGAACAAGAUCACCGGUGAUGGAAACAGUAACUAGCAUAGAAGAUAUAGAAUGGGCGUGCUCAGUGUUGCGGGUUAGGAGAGCGUAAAAGAAGACGAUGACAGAGUCUCCCAAUCUGUUUCCGGCGAGUAGUAAAGAUGACGAAUAAUAAAUUAGAGGUAUCACGAUGGCUGUUGAUGCAGCUGGAAGGAGAAAGAAUAGUGGCACGGUGACUGGUGUUACCACCGUAAGAGAAGAAGGAACAGCUGGCAACAAGUUGAUGACUUCAGUCAAAAUAAUGUAGAGCUUCGGUCGUCGGUGGUGCAGCAGAGGUAAUUUUUCUUCUUUAAAAACAGAUAGUUAUUUUCUUUUUAAAAAUAAGUUACAGAAAAUGCCAUUAGAGUUCGAGAUGCAAUCAGAGGAAACGCCGGAGCUCCCGUGCAAUGUUUCGGUGGACUGUCAAGGUUUUGGGGCUUGGUUCAAAGGUGGACUGUCUUCAGUUUCAUUAUACGGUAUCCCGAUGAUAAGGAUGCUGAGGUUGCUGGCAGCACUGCUGGAGGCGGUGCUCCUGCUGCAGUCAUGGCGGUUAAGGAUAGUAUGGCCAUGGGAUGAUAAAGUCAGUUCCAUAUGAACAUAAAAAGAGGUUGAUUUUGGCAUCAUUAACAAGAACAAGGUCCUACAACUUCGUGAGUUAGCCGCACGCUACUCUUUAUUAUUCUCAAAGAACAAUGAAAGGUGGCUUUUUGAUUGGGAAAGCCUCAGGAGUAUCAGAAACUGCACAAGGAAAUGUGUAUUCAAGCUAUGACUGCAAAGAAGGGGUUCCUUUGAGAGUGCGGUGCUAGAAUAUGUGUGUAAUGCUCUUUUUCUUAAGCACUGAAGAAGUAGCUUCAAAUUUUUGGAUUCAUUUGGUGUUUAUUUUCAUUUGCUCCCCGUAUUGGCACCGUCUACCUCUGCCGCCUCAGAUGAUUUCCUCUCUGUCGAAUACUACAACAGCAACGCUAAAGUACAAGAACUACCAGCAUAGGAUAGCCUGGUCCGACUCGCAGAAAGUACUACCCUUAACCUUACACAGCUCGCACUUCUUCAUCAUAUCUACCUUCACUAUUUUGAACCGUGUUCAUCAUGCCUCAGUCUCAAAGAAGAUACAUUCAGAGAAGAAGAAAGCUAGGGGCCUUCCACGAAAUGCAGGCCAAGGUUGAACAAGAGAUGGACGGUGUUUAAGGUAGAUGUAUAGUGUUAUCAGGUGAGAUGAAUGAGCACUCUCAUGGGUGGAUCCAGCAGCGACACAAUUGCUACCAAAGGACUGCUCAUGCCAAGGGACAGCAAAUAGGAGAAUAAGGCUAAGGAUUCCAAAUAAAGGAUUUGUCCUCCUUUAGCUACCGUGAUUUGGUUCCAAGUAAACAAAGCUCAAACCUACAAGAAUGCACAUUUAUUUCAGAAAAGACAGUCAAAUUAUCAGGCUAGUGUAGCAAAGAUGCGGCCCUGGGAGAGGAACAAGAAAUACCAAUUCAGUAACGUUUGGCAGAGAAGAUACCGAAUAUAGUUGGCCGAUGCUGGCGAAGGAAAGAGAAGAUGGUGGUAAGUGGAAAAUAGGGUGGUUCGAAAGAAGAGGAGAGGAAGGAGAAGCCAGUGGAGGGUGAGAACAAGAUCAAGCACAAAAUGAAGACUGCUUUAUAGUUGGAUGUUCUGUAGAAAACUUAUGCUGGGUUGUGCAUUUCUUUGGUUCAGGGGAGGCUUACCCUUUAGAGAUAGUGCAAGCUGAGUUAUUCAGAGAGUACUUUCGAGUAUUGGCAAGUGGUAGCUAGGAGCUUUAUUUUGGGCGUACUUUCGAGUAAAUAUUUUUGUUAAAAGUUGUUCGAAUGCAUUCACUUUGCCAGUAAUUUCUGUUGCCAUGCCUUCAUAAAAAUUACCUGCACUACUGAAGAUCAGUUUAAAGAUGAAUGCCAUCAUCCUAUUCAAAAGAGACAUCCUAAAUCUCAAUAUUAAACUAGCAGAGUUUUCUGCUUGAUGAGAAAGAGGCGAAGUUAACACACUACAAGAGGGAGUAUUAGUUCAUUGAGCAAUUUUGCAAGGAAAAAAUUCUUGGAUGUCGAGAGGCAUACAUUCAUCUCCUGCUUUUGGUGGUUCUCCUAAUCUUGAAGCAUUGGCAAUUGAAGCAAGUCAUGCUGAAGAAAUGGAUGGAGAACUUUUUUGUACAUUCAAGUGCUCAAUAAUCAUGGUUGCAUUUGCAAAAAGAACACUGAAAGAUCCAGAUUUGAGGAUGGUUCAUAGGGUGCAUAAGAUGUCAUCAUUGAUUUUGACCAUUUAUACAUUCAUAUUGCAUGGCAUCUUGCAAUCGCAGUUGGUCUCAGUACCUAUAACAUGCUCUUUUCGUAGUUGCAAGUCACAUCAAAGACAGCAAUUAUGGCCUUGCUGGUGAGAAAUGUUUUUUUUUAAUAGUUUUCUAAGUAUUUUUGUCAAUAAUCCUAUAGAAUAUUUUAUUGGACCUAUAAAAAUAAUAGAAAGUUGAGGACAUCUCAUGCUGGU